GGUAGUAGUUCGUUUGAUUUGAUUGCCGUGAUGCACUAUCAAUUGACUAGAUAGACUGUUUCCUCAGUGUUGGAGGGUGUUGGAGGGCAACUGGGCAAGACCGGUCUCACGGCUAAAGCUCAAAUCAACAAUACAGUAGCACGCUAUCUCCUGUUUUGACGAGAAGCAGAGCUGCGCCCCCUCAAGGGUAUGGCCGUACGAGUGGAGGGGAUUUUUUCUGUUGUUUCUCAGUUUGAAAAAAAAACAGGUCGGACCUUUUUUUCAAAUACAGAGAAAAUACUGCAGUUUUGGCCAUACUGAAGUAUUAAAACUACAGUUUUUUUUUGUUUUAACCGAACACAUCAAAAUAUUUAAAACCAAAGUAUUUUUAGAAACUGUGGUAUUUUUAGAAUACUUUGAAAAUGCCUUGCUACCAAACACAAUGCAGAAUAUACUUAUCUUGGCACGAUCUGAAGCUGAUUAUACUGCAAACAUGUGUACAAUUAAAAGGAUUGCUAGAUGUAAAGAAACUAAAUGGGAUUACCAAAUUCCAUACAUACAACUUGGGUUGAUCUGAAGCCAGUCCAUAGAACCAUGUCCCAUAUAGGACAGAGUACUAUAUGGUUUGCUACUGUAGCAGAGGUAAAAGAGGUGAGGAUGUUUGGUGGACCUUAGGCUGCAACGCACGAGCAGAAUGGGAGGAGGUUCAGGGAAUACAUAGGGUUGAGUUACCGAAGGGCUGCAGGAUGUUUAUGGUAAUGCCAUGGAGGCUGCACCAGCAGGCGUCAAGGGCGGGCUUUCAAUCCACCCCUUCCAGCAGGCAAAACAUAAUGAAUCUGGGACUAUCGAGAAUUCGAGAUAUAUAUUGGCGCAUACGCGUGUGUUGCAUAUACAGUUUUUUCUAUCUGCAAAAUCCAUGCAUAUACUCUCCAAGGGAUUAUUUCUUCCUCGCUUGAAUUUUCCUCACUGCCAGUAUGAUGACAACGGCCGGCACAACCUUCAGCUCCAGGCAUGACAGAACAAGACCGCCUCACAGCGUGUGUGGCAGCGAUGGCUGGUCCUCACAAGGGAUUUGGAGGCCACCAACUUGGUCGACCAUGUCUGCAGCCAUGGAACCUGCACAGCGGAUCCUACCUGUCAAGGAAUCCGGGUUGCAAUUUUAAUGACUUCCAUUAAGAAAAGGAAAUGAGGCAUGAGAUAGAUGUGUGGUUGCCUAUGGAUAGGAACCCUGGGAGUAUUAAGAUGGCAUCACCCACAUCUGUCGCCAUCACUGCUGAUUUCUUCACUACCUCUAGGCAGGGAAACCUGUGGCGGUAGCCUUUGGAUGGAAUUGGCGUGCCAAACCUCAAUCUAGAGGGGAUCAGCGGGCAAGCGCAUUAGAUGGAUGGAUUUGCCUUCCAACCAUUCAAGUCGACUUGCAUCUUCAGGGACAAGGAUAUCACAAUGUAUUUGUUAAAAAAUGGACUUCUAUCUAAAUUCCUUCUGAAUCGUGAUGUGUAUUAACUUUCUAAUUUUCUGUGGUAUCGUGGUGUGUAUGAAUAUGUGUUUAAGAAACUAUGCUUUUAUGGACUACAUAGUUUCUUUUAAGUUUUCUUACCUUUUUUCUCUUGCAGGUGAAACAUGCAUUUAGAAAUUUUAAUCACCAAGAGGAGAGAAGACAUGAAUGAGAUCAACUAGAUUGGUACUCUCCCCAACUCCGGUGAUGGUUUGCACUGCUGCCAACUUUCGUCUCGCAUGACAAGGGUGAUGAGCUUUACCACUGACUACCGUCUAAUGAUCUCAGCCAGUCGCGUCGGCUGGGGUGACUAGGCUAUCUGUCCCCAUCUUAUUAUUCUUCUUAUAAAGCGCAUCUUAAGUUGCAGACAUUCUUUGCAUAUCAAUAACUGACUAAUUUUUUUUUUUUGCUACUCUCUUCCAAUUGCAAGUAUUCGGAAGCAUGUGCACUUGAUCAAGUGUUGUUGGUUCAAAAGACAAAUUCUAAAGAAGACCAUGGUUCAGAUUUUUGUUUUUGUAUAGGAGACGAAUGCUAAAGAACUAUGGAAGGUUGGUCACAGGGACUUGUAGAGCAACGGAAGAAUGUCAAGAAAUAUUAGAGAGUUAGGCUGAGUUGAACCUCAAUUCUGAAAAUAAUGUUUGCUUAGUUGCAUAUCAAUGGCACCUCCAUAACUAAACUUUUAAUUUCCCUUUUGUCUCGAGAAGCUGAACCUUUUCUGUGUUAUCAAAAGCUGUGUCUAACACACUACCUUCUUCAGAUGGUUAGUAGUUUUAUUUUUAGUAAUUGAAGUCAUUACAAUAA